UCUCUCUCUCUCUCCACCCUGAAAAAUGCAGCAGAGCUGAGCAGUGUUGGCCUACAGACCACUGACAUGACUGUCAAUCCUCAUCACGUGACAAGGUUUUUUUUUUUUUGUUUCUUCAGUUUGAGCUUUGGUCACAUUAUAAUUGAUAGAGAUACUGUAGGUCUGCAGGUAGUUUCCCUAGCGUCAGUGGAGAACUGUUAAGGCUAAUUCAUGGUAGGUCGCUCGACACUUUUGAUAAAUGUCGCUUUGUCAAGAUGCAUAGAUUCCCGUGUUUAUGCUCACAUCAUCAGGCAACUCAAAAUGGUUGUGAAAUUGCAGAGUUGGUUGUCUACACGGUUUGAAAUGUUGAAUUGUCAAUAUCUUGAAAGACAGACUUCAGCUGACAGGAGGUUUGUUUUCCUUUUCAAUCACUUAAGUAAUAUUAAGUGCCAAGUUGGCGAUAUCUGAACUUUUAGGAAGAUUCCCAGUUGUAAUUAUGACUUUGAAUGUUGACAUAAAUGGUAUAGUUACAGCUUGGAAACUGGUAAUUCCAGUAUAAUACAAUCCAUACCCAAUCGCAUUGUACCGCUGAGAGGAAGUGUUCUUUUAAAGAAAGAGUAGGAUGAUUCCCGCUAUGUAGGCAACUCAUCACCCACAAAUGAUGCUACUUUCCUCUAAGUCAGAGUCAAAAAUAUGCAGCCAGGUCUCCAAGAAAUUACAUUUAUCUGCUACACAUUUUGUUGCAUAUACAUUUAGGAUAGAAUAUAUUAUCACCUGGAUUAUGCUUUUUAUCAACAACAGAGUAAUAAUUGUUCAUCAUCAUAUCUGGCAAGUUGCAAAAUGUUGAUAGUGAAACUUUAUGAUUAUGUUUAGGCACUAACAGCAUCUGUUUAAGGUUAGUGGGUUUUAAUUAGGAAUGUAAUGGUAAGUGUGUUCGUCCCAAACUGUUUGGUACAGGAUGUUCACUUAGGUACAUAGCUUUCCUCUGUUCAGUACACUCCGUGACCCAAACAAUUGCUGUCAAAAUAGUUUAAAAAUCCACUUACUCCAACGUGUGGAACAAUAACUGUAGAGCGCAAGUUCCACCUGGAACAUUUUAGCAGCGCACCACUUAGCUGUAGCAUGCUCAUAGAUGCUAGCCGGCUUAGCCAAGGUACCCUGGUUACUCUGGUUACCCUGUAGUGUCACUACCAUCAUAUUGACAAACGAGAGACCCAUAACACUGACCGAGUGCCACACUAUUUUUAAAAUAUGCUCUCCAUUAUCUCCAUAGUGAAAUGAUACUGCGUCUCCCUGUCCCCCUCCCCUCUCUGUGACAGUAGGCUUUUCACUCCACCUUUGAGUGAAGCCGUUCAGAACAACUAUGGUGGUUUACAUUGAAACAUGUACGGCAAAUAGUGAUCUCUUGAGCUUGGGCACAAACCGGUGUGUCUCCAGAUCACUGGAAUAUACUGUUCAGCCUACCUGAAGUGCCAUGGACCUACCCCAAUGAAACAACAGUGAAGGAAGUUUCGCACUUGAUUACCAUGAGUCACUCUGAAAGCUACAAGCAGGCCUCAUCUCCAAGCCCAUUAAGAUGCAGAGAAUCAAGGAACAGGAUCUCCCCAUGUGCUACCAAUAACACCUACAAUGGAUCAUUUGAAGAACCUACCAACCAAAAUAAAAUCUGUUAUAUUCUUCAUCCUCACCGUCAAACUUCAAACUGGUCGCCCAUGGGACAGGCAUUCAGAACCUCAGGAAGGAGGUGAGGGGUGGGGUGUUCUUCAUGGAGCUCUACCCAUUAAAAGUUCACAGCUAAAAACAAUGUGACAUUGCUCAAGAUGAAAAGGAAACAAACUGCUGGAUCCAGCAGUAGUGUUUGUGUUAUGACCAUGAAGGUUAAAAACCACACCUGCUUGGCAGUAUUUAUGCUGUACACCAUGGCUUGCAGGUGAACAUCCCAGUCAUUGUGGUGCUCAUUGACGUACCAUCGGAGAGCACGUUUUUAUUAGUACAUUUGUCCUGUACAUUUACAAUGUGUAAUUGCAGAUUUUUGUACAUAUUAUACACAUGUACUAUGUAAUGUCUUUGUAACAUCCAUGAAAAAAACAUGCGUCCACGUUUACCUGGCCAUUGGUUCCGGGAUGUUAUAUUUAACAGUGCAAAAAUCUCUAUGUUGAGCUGUCAAUAUGUAUACAAGAGCAAUACAACAAUGUGUAUUAGUACCAACUGAAUAAAAAAAUAAUACAUGCAUGACCUGCAGCUAUGAAAAUGAUCAUAGUUUAUCCCAUACUGUAUUUCUCAUACCUCAUUCACAAACUCCCUCCCUGACUUUGCUGACAAUGCCAACCAUAUCAAACUUUGCAGUAAUUGCUGCUGAAACCUCCAUAGCUGACUUUGACUGUAGAGGUUCAGCAAAAACAAACUUGCUGAACAAAUCAGUCAUUGUCAGUAUAUACUGUUUUUUUCUUGCUGUCUCUUUUAGUGGCCCAAUUAGGUCCAUCCCAACCACACUCCAAUUUUCUUUCACCUGUGAAUAUACAUGUCAAUAGUUAAUCACCUGUGUACAUCAGUGUACUAACUCGUAGCUCUAUUAAAACCUAUAAAUUAUACACUCACAAUGACACGUUUAAAACAACAUUGUGUACUUUCAGUGGACAUUGGUGAUCAACACUACCUUAAUGGAAUGUAGCACCGGUGCCACUGUUUAUAGGAUAAUUAAACUGGCAUGGGUGACAGCACUUGAGCAGAAACAGAAGUCAAUGUACGUUAAAAGAUAGUUUAUGUGACAGAUGGCCUAACAUACUAGUUUAAUUUUCUCAGAAUAAAUGUAGAGUUGGAAGUUCUGUGGUCCAGAUGUCAACCCUAGCCUUACCCAAUCAGUCACAUCCUCCAUGGUGGUGUGCC